GGGAUUUCACAAUGCCUUUUAGCACUGGCUCAUUCCCCAAGGCCCCUCAUUAUCCCAAUGGUGUCCAGACCUCUGCUCCGUUCUGGAGGGCUAGGCUAUGGCAGAAAUGGGAGAAGUCAGACAGAAAACCAGUCCUGGGCCACUGAGGAGUAAAACAGGUCUGGGAAUGAGGCCCAGAGGCAGGUGGGAGGCCCCCAGCUGGAAAUGCCUGCCUUCUCCACUCCCAGCGUGGGCCAGAGGCAGCUCGUGUGCCUGGCCCGAGCCCUGCUCCGCAAGAGCCGCAUCCUGGUUUUAGACGAGGCCACAGCUGCCAUCGACCUGGAGACUGACAACCUCAUCCAGGCUACCAUCCGCACCCAGUUUGAUACCUGCACUGUCUUGACCAUCGCACACCGGCUUAACACUAUCAUGGACUACAGCAGGGUCCUGGUCCUGGACAAAGGAGUAGUAGCUGAAUUUGAUUCUCCAGCCAACCUCAUUGCAGCUAGAGGCAUCUUCUACGGGAUGGCCAGAGAUGCUGGACUUGCCUAAAAUAUAUUCCUGAGAUUUCCUCCUGGCCUUUCCUGGUUUUCAUC
rnacentral:sRNA from 1 species